ensembl:lncRNA
UUGUUUUUUAACAGCAUGGCCACUUAAAUGUGCGAGGCUUCCGCUGUCAUCCACUUCUAGUUAUUUUAGCUGUACAAAAUCAGUCUGUUCUGGUGCUUGAUAUUGCAAACUGCUAUUUGUUAUGGUGUAAUUUAAAUGUAUUAUCGUAAUAAUAAAUACACUGGUUUGUAGUGCAAAUAGUUUUACAAUUUCUGCACUUUACACUUAAAAAAAUGCUGGGUCAAAACAACCCAGUGCUGGGUGAAAUAUGGACAAGCCCAGCAAUUUGGUUGUUUUGACCCAGCAGUUUGGUUAAAUGUUUAACCCAACCUUCUGGGUAGUAACCCAACCGCUGGGUCAAAACAAUCCAGUUGCUGGGUUUGUCCAAUUUUACCCAGCACUGGGUUGCAUUUAACCCAGCAUUUUUUAGAGUAUAUACAAUAGCAAUUAAUGAAACGGAAGUCUUGUACAUUCACAGAAAAGAUUGCGUUGCAAAAAAAAGGUGGGUAUGACUUUCUGUUAUUUGAAUUCUUUGACUCUCAUUACUGACUAAUGCAUGAAAGGACCCAAAACAUGCACAUGAGGUGUAACACACUUGUAUCUCUGCCCAACUUAAACUGCCAAAGGAUGACAUCUCCAAGACUCUACAGAACAUCCUACACUAUGAUGAGAAACAUGGACAUAAUGAGGACUCAAUGGAUGAAGAAACUUUCAUCAGAGUUCACUUAGAUGUCACUCAGUGCCUGAACUAUGCUAUUUUUGAUGCUAAAAAAGUUGGUCUGACUUUGAUGCAUGCAGUACAAAUACUCUGUAGUGGAGAGCUGCAUGGUUUUGUUCAGAAGUAUGUGGAUGCUAAGAACAAACGUCUAUAAAAAACAAACGUUUACAGAGACAAACUCUGUGUAUCUGUUUCGGAUAAUCAACACCUGCAUGCAACUCAGGGCACCCUUAUUUUAACAGUCAACCUUUUUGAAUCAAUGAAUCAGUGACAUUAACAAUGAUGGCAGAAGAUUUUUAAAUGAAAAAAUAACGUUGGUUGAGUGAGUUUAACGAAAUUUCAACCAAGGGGGGCCUUUAAUUGGUCCGUGCCCAGGGCACCGCUGUGUCAUAAUCCGUCCCUGACUUACCGUCUGGAAUUUCAUCAUGGUUUGCUGCAACUGUUUCUAUUUAUAACCCUCAAACUGGAACGAGCUCAGCGACUCCUAGUGGUGUCACGACCCGGGGUUGGGAACCACUGGGGAAAAUCCUUGUGUAGAAUAAAACAGCUUUUCUAGGUCACUGUUAUAACUAGAGUCACUAUACGAUGUUGUGCUACACAAAUCAGUCCAAAUACAAACAGCAGAGAUGUCUCCUCAAGCACUAUAUGCAUGCUACAGAAACUGGAAGACAAUGCUUCAUCCAUUGUACGAAAGCUCAUGAAAUGCUUAGCACAGGCCAAUUUAGAAGGUUAUUUUGAGAAAAGAGAUGGGCAUAUUGAUAUCCUGAUGGAGGCAAUCCAAAGGCAGUGUGCAUCUCUGCCUGAGACUGCUUCAGAGAUCAAAACGGUUUGCGCAGAGUAUGACCUUAAAACCAAUCAUAAAGAUUCUAGAUUCAUAUCUCACCCUCGGCCUCUCUUACAAUCUCUAGGUCAUUGUGAAAAUAGCUUACGACAGUGUUUCCAAAGUGUACCUGGAAUGCUUGAUGAAGACAAAUGUCAGAAAGCUAGAGAUGCUUUGGGGAAAUGCUGAGGAAAAGAUAAAAGAGGAUGUUCAACAUUUUCACCAAAUAUUCUCUGACCUGGUGAAAAAUUAACUCUAUUUCUCAGCAUAAUCCUAGUUUUAAUCCUUAACUUUUGACUAAGAGAACAGUGUGUUUUUUCAUUCAUUACACAAAUAAAAAGCUCAUGGUUUGAGUAAAGUGAUUUCUACCUGCAGAAUGGCAUUGCUGCCCAGGAGAGCUCCUUCAGAGAAUGAGUGUUUUGCUUUACAGUCAUGUAAAAACGAAGGACGUUACCAAUGCUUUGUUCAAAGACUUCCCUCAGGAGAGUGAGCAGUAUGUACCUGGUCUGCUGCGCUGGAAGGGUGUGUUAUCAGAGCAACAGGUGAAGGAAGUGCUGGAUGAGAUUCGGGAACCCUGCCAAAAUCCAGAUCCUACACAUGUCACCUGUUUUCUUCUGAAGGGACUUUUUUGUUGUAAAUAGCUUGAGGUCAGAGGUCAGUAAAAGUAAGCUAUGGAGAAUGUUCUCUGAACAUUGUGCUAUUUAUAUUUUCAAGCAUUCAGAUCUGAUGUUAAUUUUUAAAAUAUGUCCUAAAUCUUUUUUGUUCACACCUGUCUAAAACAAACUGUUGGUGUUCCGAACAAAGUGAAAAUACAGGUGAAUUGGAAACAAUUACUCUGUAAAGACUGACAUUUGAAAUAAUAGUUAGAACAAUUUUUUUUUUAAAUGGGACAGUUUAUUAAAAAUGUAUAUGCCAACUUACAUAAAAUGCAUUUAAAUAUUAGUUGUCACUCUGUAUCUUCCAAUAGUAUGUCUUAGUAAAAUGAUAUUUAAAUGCUUAGUUUUAUUAUCAAAGCUCUGUAGUUAUUUAUUGUUGGGCAAAACAUAUAAUGCAAUGCAAUACAAUAAUUGUUGAGAAAUUAACCUCUUAAGCACAGGGCUAUUUUGGGGAUUUCCGCCUGGCAUUUUUCCUACCCAAAUUCAAAAGCUUCCCAUACCCACAUGCAGAGGUGUACAUACAAAAGUUUGGUAUCAUUUUACAGGAAAUCCUUUGAAAUUACAUAAAACAGUGUUGAAACUGAUAAAAAUGGUUUAAUAUGUUGUCUGUGUUAUAAUAAAUGGGGAAAAAAAAAGGCGCUUUUUGAUUUUUUUUUUUAUAAACUGAAGUUUGAAAUUGUAUAGCUCAGGUUCUGAGAGGUCCAGCAUCCUGCAAACAAUUGUAUUUGUUUCCAGCACAUGUCAGCUAAUAGAGGAAAAAGGAAAUUUGUUUCUAUCAUAAUCUAUGCAAAAGUUAUUCUAUUCCAUCUAAAGGGAGGAAUAAUACCCUUUUUGUAUACAUUUUCCGACUACCCACAUUUGAAGACUCCAAAUACCCACAUAUAGUAGAAUAGAUGCAAUAUCUUUAUAUCCUUUUACAGAAAACCCUUUGAAGUGACAUAAAAAGCUGCUGUUUGUGACAAAUAUUAUUAUUUGUGUUGUUUUUCACAUGAUGAACCACCUCAAUACAAGGCGCUUUUUUUGUGUGUUCUAAACACUUUCUUUGAAAGUAGAUAACUCAGGCCCUGUGUGCUCUAGCAAACUGCAUUACUUUAUAAAAUAUAUCUGGUCUAUCACAAUCUAAAAUAGAAUCCACAUUCUCCAGCUUUAUAUCAUUUCAUUCAUGUGCAUUCUGUAUUGGUAUACUGAUUCAGAGCAUCUGACCUCAGCAUCCACUGUCUCACUUCAGCAUCUUCAGCACCCUCUUUGUCUGUUUGGUCGCGAGCUGCGGGCUAUCCGCUAACCGGAGCUGCUAUAUGGCCUUCAGAGCGUCAAAGAAACACAUAUAUGUUCAUCCACACAGC